GAGGGUAUAGCUCAGUGGUAGAGUAAAUACUUAUCAUGCAAGAGGUCCUGUGUUCAAUCCCCAGUACCUCCA
rnacentral:tRNA from 1 species